rnacentral:lncRNA from 1 species
UCUCUUGUUUCAAAUGUCCAAGAGUGAUUUACCUCAGUUUAACCAAGAGAUGAAAUUGUAUGGCCAGGUUGUUCAGGAAGAACAAUGAAACUACUGGUUAGAAGGAGGAGGCUCAGUUGUGCAAGAGACAAGAGUAAGAAUGCAGAAGGCAGUUUUAUCUUCUUAUCUGCACCUUCAGUCUGGUCCAGAGACUAAAAAGGAAACACCAAUACUGCCUGUUCAGGUAUUUACACACAUUCUUUAACUCAUAAGACUGUACUAUAUGGCAUGUUGCAAAUCAUUUGAAACUUCAUCACUCUGAAUGACCUGUUAAAAAAUAGUAAGUUAGAAGCCUUCAAAUGGUUCCCUCAAAAUGCUGCCUUUAAAAUAGAGCAUAUAGCUAAUUCCUGCAACUUUUAUCUGUCUCUGCAACUACUUCCCAUACAAAAAAAAGUGUACGACUGUACUCUGUAGGAAAUGGAGGUUUUGAAUACCUUUAUUUCCAUUUAAAUUUCACUAGACAUCCCCUUUAAAAUCAAAUUAUUUUGAUAAGGAAGAUGGAUGUGCUUAGCUUCUCAAACUGCAGCUCUGCAGGAGAGUUAUCUAAAUCAAAGUUUUGUAUUUCACCUAGCUGAUAUUUAAAAAUCAAUUUUUUUUUAUUUAUUUUUUUUUUUUUCAGAGUACAUUACUUGAGUGAGAAGGGACAUACAUAGAACCUAAUGGCUGCAAGCAGCUGGCGACAAGCACAGUA